rnacentral:rRNA from 1 species
UACGAAGGGGGCUAGCGUUGUUCGGAAUCACUGGGCGUAAAGCGCACGUAGGCGGAUUGUUAAGUCGGGGGUGAAAUCCUGAGGCUCAACCUCAGAACUGCCUCCGAUACUGGCAAUCUCGAGUUCGGAAGAGGUUGGUGGAACAGCUAGUGUAGAGGUGAAAUUCGUAGAUAUUCGGAAGAACACCAGUGGCGAAGGCGGCUCACUGGCCCGGUACUGACGCUGAGGUGCGAAAGCGUGGGGAGCAAACAGG